rnacentral:rRNA from 1 species
GAUGCAACGCGAAAAACCUUACCCACCUUUGACAUGUACGGAAUCCUUUAGAGAUAGAGGAGUGCUCGAAAGAGAGCCGUAACACAGGUGCUGCAUGGCUGUCGUCAGCUCGCGUCGUGAGAUGUUGGGUUAAGUCCCGCAACGAGCGCAACCCUUGUCAUUAGUUGCUACAUUUAGUUGGGCACUCUAAUGAGACUGCCGGUGACAAACCGGAGGAAGGUGGGGAUGACGUCAAGUCCUCAUGGCCCUUAUAGGUGGGGCUACACACGUCAUACAAUGGAUGGUACAAAGGGUCGCCAACCCGCGAGGGGGAGCCAAUCCCAUAAAGCCAUUCGUAGUCCGGAUCGUAGUCUGCAACUCGACUACGUGAAGUCGGAAUCGCUAGUAAUCGUGGAUCAGAAUGUCACGGUGAAUACGUUCCCGGGUCUUGUACACACCGCCCGUCACACCAUGGGAGCGGGUUCUGCCAGAAGUAGUUAGCCUAACCGCAAGGAGGGCGAUUACCACGGCAGGGUUCGUGACUGGGGUGAAGUCGUAACAAGGUAGCCGUA